rnacentral:rRNA from 1 species
GACGAACUGUCCUAACGUUGUUCGGAAUCACUGGGCUUAAAGGGCGCGUAGGCGGUCCGACAAGUCGGGGGUGAAAUCCUGCAGCUUAACUGCAGAAGUGCCUUCGAUACUGUCGGUCUUGAGGGAGAUAGGGGUGUGCGGAACUUCCAGUGGAGCGGUGAAAUGCGUAGAUAUCUGGAGGAACACCGGUGGCGAAGGCGGCAUCCUGGACCGACAUUGACGCUGAGGCGCGAAAAGCUAGGGGAGCAAACGGG